CUCAGAUCACACAAAUAAGCCUUUCUGCAGGGGAAAUAAACGGUUUAACCUGCAGGGCCAUAGUCCAAAGGGAGCAGGCGAGCUUCCAGGCUUCUCCAGUUCACAGUGGCGAGGUUGGUUUCGCCACACACUCCACUCCCUGUGAGAGAACUUAUGGGCGGGCCAUAUGGGUGGGCCUUGUAGGCCUACUCACAGUCAGACCCCGGGGGCCCAGACCUUGUUAAUUUUUGUGAGCACUGUUACAAACAGUCUCCAGAGAUCCUCUUCUACACCAGACCUGUGGUGCCAGACUGCAGCCUGAGCCCAUCAUCACCCUCUUAUCCUCAUCUGGUGGUAAGUAGACAAUCUAGUAUAUUAUUAGUGACACUAAUCUCUAAUUUACCUCACAUUAAAGGGACACUAUAGUCACCAGAACCACUACAGCUUAAUAAAGUAGUUCUGGUGUCUCUAGCCUGUGCCUGCAGGUGUUUUACUGUAAAUGUUACGGUUAAAGUGCAGAAAUCAGUUAAUGUGCACAUUAACUAGUUAAUCUGCAGAUUAACUAGGGUGAUCAGUUAAAGUGCAGAAAAUGAUUUCGUUUCUCAAAUAUUUCUCACAUUACCUAGGUAAUCUGCACAUUACCUACUAGGCACUUGAUAAAGUGCAAAAAAAAUCAUUCUGUCCUCCAUCUCUCUGAGGGGCUCACAGCUCUGGAGGAUACCAUGAUGUGCACAGGCUGCUGUUCUGUUCUUGUCUGGACCACAUAGUCACAUACCUCUUCAAACAGUUAUCCCGAACUGUUAAGAAACGAGGAGCCCCCACCACCACAAAAGAGCGAGCGCUUUAUGCACAUUAUGCAGCAACCACCCUGAAAUGACCCCAGCAGAUGCUCUCCACUGUUCUCAAUAUCAUCAUAUAUUUGAAGACUGUCAGAAUCAUUGGUCCAUGAGCAGAUCUCUCCUUGGUCUCAUUCUCCUCAAUGAGAGAAGUAUUUCUCAGACUUACGGAGCAGCAUUGUUAGUAGCCAGCCCCCCUCUUAGAAGCAACAAGCCAUGCAUCUAUGCUUUGAGAAUUUGAUGGUGGAGGGCAUUGAAAGGAACUUGCUCACAAAAAGAACCGAGACAGGUUCACACAGAAUCUUUCUGCCUUCAGACGAGAAGUGAACGACUCUGCAGAGACUGCACUGAAAGGGUGAAACAGGUUCUGCAAGGACGUUGUUCUUUGUAAUAAACAAUUCCUCUUUUUACCGAGGGCUAGACACAAACAUUUUGCACGUUAACUAGACCGAAGCAGUUAAUGUGCACAUUACCUAGGUAAAGUGCGGAAAACUCUCGAUUCCACACUUUGAGCAAAUCAGUUAAUCUGCAGAUUAACUAGUUAAUGUGCACAUUAACUGAUUUUUCACUUUAACUGUAACAUAAACACACACUGCCUUUUCAGAUAAAAGACACUUCGUGCAGAACUGGC